UCGUUGUAUCUUGAUGUUUAAGCCAAAAAAAUGUAUUUAUAUUUGGUUUUGAUAUUCCAGUUAUAUACAAUUUAUUCCAAAUCAUUGGCAAUGUAACAUUCUUUAAAUCCAGUAAAGAAAAAAACUUUUAACUUGGAAUUAAAAUCUUUAAAAUAGGCACAAUGUGAUACUUGUGACCUGUACACCAUCUACAUGGUUUCCACAUUUUAACCUACUUUAGUGGGCUAAAAUCAAUAAAGUACUUCCUUUCAAGUCAUGCAUGGUAAAAGUUUACUUCUCCUUUGACAAGUUUAUUGCGUUUCUGAUAAGUGUUUGCAGAACAUGAAUAAAAAAUAUUAAUUAAAAACUGUGACAAAGAUUCCAACUUUGUACAUUCCAAGUGUAACGGUAUAUUAACAUGUAUUUUUUAUUAAAUUAUAUUUAUUCACCUAAAAUAUCCAGUAAUAUUUACUGCUGAAGUUAAAUCAAUCCAACGAGCAUUGGUACAAUGAUAAGAGACGUAAUUUCGAUUGAUUUUUCCAAGGACUCUUCACGUCAUUAUCGGGAAACGAAGUGUGUUCUAGUCAUUGGGCAUUUAUUUUCACACAGGAUCGUAUGUAACAUUAUGCACAUAGGAAAAAUAACAGACCACCGGCGCAAUCUCUUUGACAAUUGUAUUUUCCUCUUUUAAACAAGACGAAACAAGUCUACAGAUUAUGUUUGCUAACAUCCCGUUGGAAACAAAAACAAUGUUUAGACCUAGUAUUUCGUACAUCCGGCCGUAAUGGCGUUAUCACAUGUUAGUCACAUGUUUCACGUAUGACCGGAAAUGAUUAGAACUUAAGGACAAAAACAAUUUUAAUAAAUAACUGGACUUCUGUUUCGUGUGAAAUGUAACGCAUAACGAUAACGUAAUUUUCUUACUUAAUUAUUACGAAGAUCAAAACAAGAAUGUAAAUCAUCUCGGAUUUACCUGUUUGAACAUCUCGCGAGAGUUCAUAUUUGCAUAUUGUUUUUAAGAAUUCUAUUACAACAAAGCAGAUUACAUCAUCUAAAAAUUGCGUUACGAAAUCGGACACAAAAAUCACGC
rnacentral:lncRNA from 1 species